GACGAACGCUGGCGGCGCGCCUAACACAUGCAAGUCGAACGGAGCUGAGAGAAGCUUGCUUUUCUUAGCUUAGUGGCGAACGGGUGAGUAACGCGUGAGUAACCUGCCCUGGAGUGGGGGACAACAGUUGGAAACGACUGCUAAUACCGCAUAAGCCCACGAUCCGGCAUCGGAUUGAGGGAAAAGGAUUUAUUCGCUUCAGGAUGGACUCGCGUCCAAUUAGCUAGUUGGUGAGGUAACGGCCCACCAAGGCGACGAUUGGUAGCCGGCCUGAGAGGUUGAACGGCCACAUUGGGACUGAGACACGGACCAGACUCCUACGGGAGGCAGCAGUGGGGGAUAUUGCACAAUGGGGGAAACCCUGAUGCAGCGACGCCGCGUGGAGGAAGAAGGUUUUCGGAUUGUAAACUCCUGUCGUUAGGGACGAUAAUGACGGUACCUAACAAGAAAGCACCGGCUAACUACGUG
rnacentral:rRNA from 1 species